CCUACGGGAGGCAGCAGUGGGGAAUAUUGCACAAUGGGGGAAACCCUGAUGCAGCGACGCCGCGUGGGCGAGGAAGUACCUCGGUAUGUAAAGCCCUAUCAGCAGGGAAGAAACAGGACAGUACCUGACUAAGAAGCCCCGGCUAACUACGUGCCAGCAGCCGCGGUAAUACGUAGGGGGCAAGCGUUAUCCGGAUUUACUGGGUGUAAAGGGAGCGCAGGCGGCCUGCCAAGUCUGGUGUGAAAACCCGGGGCCCAACCCCGGGCCUGCAUUGGAAACUGGCGGGCUGGAGUGUCGGAGGGGCG
rnacentral:rRNA from 1 species